rnacentral:rRNA from 1 species
GAUGAACGCUGGCGGCGUGCUUAAUACAUGCAAGUCGAACGAAGACAGUAGCAAUAUUGUCUGAGUGGCGAACGGGUGAGUAACGCGUUGGUGACCUGCCCCGAAGAGAGGGAUAACAGUCCGAAAGGAUUGCUAAUACCCCAUGUGGUCGUUUGGAUUAGAUGCCUUAUGACUAAACGGAUUUAUUCGCUUCGGGAGGGGCCUGCGUCCCAUCAGCUAGUUGGUAGGGUAAUGGCCUACCAAGGCGAUGACGGGUAGGGGACCUGAGAGGGUGGCCCCCCACAAUGGAACUGAAACACGGUCCAUACACCUACGGGUGGCAGCAGUAGGGAAUAUUGGUUAAUCUGGGAAACCGGGAACCAGCAACGCCGCGUGCACGAUGAAGGCCUUCGGGUUGUAAAGUGCUUUUGAAAGGAUGAGGAAGGACAGUACUUUCAGAAUAAGCUUCGGCUAACUACGUG